rnacentral:ncRNA from 2 species
GUACGCUACAAGCGCAUUGGUUCGGCCUGCCCUCCAGGCAGGUCGUCGCAAGAGGGAACCCGGUGGGAAUCCGGGACUGCCCCGCAGCGGUGAGUGGGAACGACCGCCGUCAUACGCACUGGGCCCGGCAGGGUCUGGGAAGCGACGGCCAGUAGGUGUCCGCCGGACGAGUCCGGCGGGCGGGUCCGCGAGUCCGAAGACCUGCCAGUGCCCCCGCACACGG